AGUGAACGCUGGCGGUAGGCCUAACACAUGCAAGUCGAACGGCAGCACAGUAAGAGCUUGCUCUUACGGGUGGCGAGUGGCGGACGGGUGAGGAAUACAUCGGAAUCUACUUUUUCGUGGGGGAUAACGUAGGGAAACUUACGCUAAUACCGCAUACGACCUACGGGUGAAAGCAGGGGAUCUUCGGACCUUGUGCGAUUGAAUGAGCCGAUGUCGGAUUAGCUAGUUGGCGGGGUAAAGGCCCACCAAGGCGACGAUCCGUAGCUGGUCUGAGAGGAUGAUCAGCCACACUGGAACUGAGACACGGUCCAGACUCCUAAGGGAGGCAGCAGUGGGGAAUAUUGGACAAUGGGCGCAAGCCUGAUCCAGCCAUACCGCGUGGGUGAAGAAGGCCUUCGGGUUGUAAAGCCCUUUUGUUGGGAAAGAAAAGCAGCAGGUUAAUACCCCGCUGUUCUGACGGUACCCAAAGAAUAAGCACCGGCUAACUUCGUG
rnacentral:rRNA from 1 species